UUAUAUUUGUUUAAGGUUGAUGUAUAAAGUACUCUUUUGUUUUACAGGUGAACUGACCUUGUAUUGGCCGUUUGGGACGGUCCUAAUUAAAUUUGGCAAAAUGUGAACACAAUUCAAAUGGAUUUGUCGCUGUGAUAAGCCUGGAAGAAAGGUUAUGCACGAACAUGCCGGGCAUUUGACGGUUGUGCGUGAAGUUGCCUGCGCUGGAUAAUAAUCCUCAAUUGGGUGCUCAAACAUUUGGAUCAGCUACAGCUGACAUCGUUGUACAUUCAAAAUAUGAAAUAAAUAAAUAAACAUGCAUUUUGAACUUAAAAA